rnacentral:rRNA from 1 species
CCUACGGGGGGCUGCAGUGGGGAAUAUUGGACAAUGGGCGAAAGCCUGAUCCAGCAAUGCCGCGUGUGUGAAGAAGGCCUUCGGGUUGUAAAGCACUUUUAUCAGGAACGAAAUCUGCACGGCUAAUACCCGUGUAGUCUGACGGUACCUGAGGAAUAAGCACCGGCUAACUCCGUGCCAGCAGCCGCGGUAAUACGGAGGGUACAAGCGUUAAUCGGAAUUACUGGGGGUGAUGCGUUAAGAGGCGGUUGAAAUCCCCGAGCUCAACUUGGGAAUUGCAAUGGAUACUGGCAAGCUGGAGUAUGGUAGAGGAAGGUGGAAUUCCCGGUGUAGCAGUGAAAUGCGUAGAGAUCGGGAGGAACACCAGUGGCGAAGGCGGCCUUCUGGACCAAUACUGACGCUCAUGCACGAAAGCGUGGGGAGCAAACAGGAUUAGAUACCCCAGUAGUC